rnacentral:rRNA from 1 species
UGGGGGAUAUUGCGCAAUGGGGGAAACCCUGACGCAGCAACGCCGCGUGAAGGAAGAAGGUCUUCGGAUUGUAAACUUCUUUUGUCAGGGACGAAGAAAGUGACGGUACCUGACGAAUAAGCUCCGGCUAACUACGUGCCAGCAGCCGCGGUAAAACGUAGGGUGCAAGCGUUGUCCGGAAUUACUGGGUGUAAAGGGAGCGCAGGCGGGAAGACAAGUUGGAAGUGAAAACCAUGGGCUCAACCCAUGAAUUGCUUUCAAAACUGUUUUUCUUGAGUAGUGCAGAGGUAGAUGGAAUUCCCGGUGUAGCGGUGGAAUGCGUAGAUAUCGGGAGGAACACCAGUGGCGAAGGCGGUCUACUGGGCACCAACUGACGCUGAGGCUCGAAAGCAUGGGUAGCAAACAGGAUUAGAUACCCUGGUAGUCCAUGCCGUAAACGAUGAUUACUAGGUGUUGGGGGAUUGACCCCCUCAGUGCCGCAGUUAACACAAUAAGUAAUCCACCUGGGGAGUACGACCGCAAGGUUGAAACUCAAAGGAAUUGACGGGGGCCCGCACAAGCAGUGGAGUAUGUGGUUUAAUUCGAAGCAACGCGAAGAACCUUACCAGGUCUUGACAUCCGAUGCAUAACACAGAGAUGUGUGAAAUCCUUCGGGACAUCGAGACAGGUGGUGCAUGGUUGUCGUCAGCUCGUGUCGUGAGAUGUUGGGUUAAGUCCCGCAACGAGCGCAACCCUUAUUGCCAGUUACUACGUUAAGAGGACUCUGGCGAGACUGCCGUUGACAAAACGGAGGAAGGUGGGGAUGACGUCAAAUCAUCAUGCCCUUUAUGACCUGGGCUACACACGUACUACAAUGGCGUUAAACAAAGAGAAGCAAGACCGCGAGGUGGAGCAAAACUCAAAAACAACGUCUCAGUUCAGAUUGCAGGCUGCAACUCGCCUGCAUGAAGUCGGAAUUGCUAGUAAUCGCGGAUCAGCAUGCCGCGGUGAAUACGUUCCC